GGUGAAUGAAAUGUUGGAAACUGGUGAGACCGUCGUAUCAAUUAUAUUGAACAAAGAAACCAAGUCCACUGAGUUUUGAAAAUGUUUAGGGUUUAAAAUACAUCAGCCCAACACGUCCAGGUUUGAACAUCCUCCUGCUAUUCUUCAGGAUGUUUAGAACAGAACAAUGCAAGUUGCUAAAAGACUGCCAAUAGCUGACAAGAGAAAUGUGUGACAUGGUCGGAUGCCAUUAGCUGAUACAAUUGUCAUGGAGAAUAAGGUGUUCAGCAUGUGGCAGGUGUUCACACUUUCAGUGUGUCAAAAUAACAACACAUGAGGGACAGGACUUCAUUUGCUUAAUAUGCAAGGCACAAUAUAAUUAAUGUACAAUGUCUUGUAGUUUAUUAGCUUAUCUGCCCGUUAUUUUCAGAAAAAUCUGAAAAUCUUAUAUGUAGUUAUUGCCCUUGAAAUGUACGUUUUUUUCUAUCCAUUUUCACAAUUUUUGACUUCUACCUUUGAAAUAGAGGUUAAAACUGUAAACUGUAAUAACUAUCAGAGCAAAAACAUGUAUCCACUGUGGAAAUUGAAAAAAAUCAAAGUAUCUGUUUGGAGUUAUUGCCCCUGAAAUUUUUUUUUUUUCGAAUCUUUCACUGUUUUUUUUUUGCUGUAAGUUAUGAAAUCUAUAGGAAGAAGCUUGAAAUUUUAAAUGCAAAAAUAUGAAUGAACGAUAUGGUUCUUUUCAGGUUAACUUAUAAUUUAUUGGGUAAUUUGAAUAUUUGUCAGUACGAAAAAAAAAUCACAAAAAUUACGUAAACAAAAUUGAAUGCAGUGAAAUUUUUUUUUUAUCAUAGGCAACUAUUACAACUCACUAUUAUUAGCAUCAAAAUUUUGCUUGCAUCAAUUAAUAACAUAUUUACAGUAUAGAAAUUAGAAAAACAUUAUUCAGUCAAUAUCAAUAAAAAGAGUAUAAUUUUUUCACAUGUUUCUAUAUCAAGUGUACUUAAAUUUUCUUUUGACAGCAAAUAAGGAGAAAAAUGAGGCUUUUCAUAGUAGGAACGGUUGCAAAUGAUUAUGCAAAAUGUUGCUAUUAACUAUACAUAACACAGACAUUUCAAUGUACUUGAUUUUUCAUUCAUAUUUUUUCAUUCAAGCUACAAAACUGCAGUUAAAUUUCAUUGACACUGAUAUACAUGAUAUACAAAUGUGUAUUGAAACAUAAAUCAAAUAUACAAAAAACCAAAACAGCAGAUAUAUAACAUCUUUCAUCAAUGCCAUACUGGGAAAAUCAUUGUACACAGUGGCUUGUACAUGUAGUAUAAUAGAAAAUGAAAGCACCAGUUCAUGUAAAAAAGAAAUAUUUAUUUUUUUAUAUGCAUAAAUUUUCAGUGAUGUAUUUAGCUAAAACGUUUGUUGUUAUUAGGACAUCUUAAUAAUCCAUAUCUCAAUUGAUUUUGAACAGCACAAAUUUCUUAGAUAUUUAUGUAAUUGAUACAAAAUUGAUUUAUCAUGUGACUUGAAAUGCUAAAAGAAAAUACAACCAGGAGAUAAAUUUAGAAAAUAAAUAUUUGUGAAUCUUU